UACGGGGGGGGGAAGCGUUGUUCGGAUUUACUGGGCGUAAAGGGCGCGUAGGCGGCGCGGUAAGUCACUUGUGAAAUCUCUGAGCUUAACUCAGAACGGCCAAGUGAUACUGCAGUGCUAGAGUGUGGAAGGGGCAAUCGGAAUUCUUGGUGUAGCGGUGAAAUGCGUAGAUAUCAAGAGGAACACCUGAGGUGAAGACGGGUUGCUGGGCCAACACUGACGCUGAGGCGCGAAAGCCAGGGGAGCAAACGGG
rnacentral:rRNA from 1 species